UACCCCAGUUAUCAUGGUAGUCAAUCUUAUGCUUAAAGGCGAUACAUAGAGGUAAGAAAAACUGUUAGUUUUACCUAAACGCGUAUUAACAUACCUAUUGAAUCUGAAUAAUAGUAUAUUUGUUGUUUACAAGGAGCAAAAAACUGGAAGCCCAAACUAUAUUGUUGUUUUUGAGAAUACACAUUACAAGGAAGGGCGGGGAUGGGCAAACAAUAUUUGUGCAGCAGACUGGGGUAAAAUUCAAGACGAGUUAGCUAGAGCGUCGAGAGAUGUGGAUGAUACUUCACCAGUUGAUGAACUCGAGGUACUCAAAAGUGCCUUGGGUCAUAGGAAUGGGCACGUACGCGGUGUUGGUCGUGUUGUUAAAAAUGUCACCCAUGAAAUAUCGAGCUCAUACCCCCCGCCAGGACAACAACAACAAUUGGAAGAAAUGCAAGAAGAAAUGCAACAAAUGCGACAAGAAAUACAAGAAAUGCGACAACAACAACAACAAGUGCAAGUGCAACCAUUCUCAAACCAAGCAAUAAUGGAACAACAACAACAACAACAACAACAACAUGCGUUUCAAAUGCAACAAAUGGAAGCACAAUUUCAAUGCUGACUUCAUGAAUAGAAACGAAAAAUGCGUCAACUUGACGAAGAUGAUGAAGAUGAUGAUUAGAAUUAGAUAUUUGCAUUAAACUUUUAAUUUGAAGUUUGUACUCGAUAACUAAUGUUUAUUUUGAAGCUUGGACUUGAUAACUAUGACGAAUAUUUUGUA